AACAUACUCCCUUCGUCCGGAAAUACUUAUCAUCAAACUAGAUAAAAGGGGAUGUAUCUAGAUGUAUUUUAGUUCUAGAUACAUCUCUUUUUAUCCAUUUUGAUGACAAGUAUUUUCGGACAGAGGGAGUACGUG
rfam:Triticum aestivum genome assembly, contig: Triticum_aestivum_CS42_TGACv1_scaffold_593290_7BS